UUUAUUUCCAGUUUCUUAAAAAAAUUGGAAAAUCUAGCAGUACUGGGCUUCCAUUUCCUCAAGGCAACAGGAAGCCAGAGCUGAAAAAUGACAGGGUCCUAUGGAUGGGGUCUCUGCUCCCUCCAGUUCAUUACAGUCUUUGCCUGGCCAACUGCCCUCAUUCAUGCUACCUGCCUUGCCGGGCCUCUGAGUACACCCUGUACAGCUGUACACAGCUGCCUAUCUUCCAUAGGCGUUUGAGAUCCCUGAUCUUUCUAUCCCUGCGAUGCAUCUAAAUGUGAGUUAGGUCCAUAGCCUAUAAAAUCUUGGCAGGCAGGGACUCAUCUCAAACGACAAUUCUGUAUUUCAGUGGUCAUUUACUGAAUGCUUAGAGCAGUGGUUCUCAGACUUUACCACGCGUCACCUGGCGGUCUUGUUAGAACAGACUGCCGGGCGCCAGUUCCAGAGCUUCUGAUUCAGUAGGUCUCGGGUGAGCCCAGGAGUUUGCAUGUCCAACAUGGUCCCAGGGGAUGCUGAUGCUACUCAUCCAGGGACCACACUUUGUGAACAGUGCUUAGGGAAAACAUUUUUAUGGUUGUGAACUGGAUCACGGUAAAACCAAUACUCUUUCUUCUACCACCUUUUGUUCUUUCCUAUAUAACCUGCUUCCUGAUUUUUCUUAAUUAUAUGCUUUAUAUUCCACCAAAAUAAAACCCUUCAUUUUUCUUUAAUUUUCUUAGAAUUUCUCCAAGGGUUAGUCAACAGUCAUCCACCUGGAAUGGCUUAGAGACAGGAGGACGGUCUUCGUGACACAUACUCUUUCUGAGUUGCUUUUAGGGUAUCUUUCUUCUUUCAUGAUAUCUUUCCAUGUUCUGUAUCAUGUUGAUCACCAACUUGUGGCUGCUGGCCAGAUGCCCCCUGCACUGUUGCCAAUCCCAGCCAGAUUAGAAAACUAGGAGCUUUUCCACUCCCAACACAUCACAGUCCAAAUCCAUAUCUUCUGCUAAUCUAUUUAUACUACACAGAUGGCUGGAAUCGUCCAGAAGAGUCACACUUUGAAAUCUGGAGAAAGUGAAUGUACUGCAAGAAAAAAUAGUUUGGCAAUAUUUUUUUCCUCCUGGCCAUUUUCCACUGUGUGUAUUUUUUCCCUAUAUUGCUUCUCAUAUUCUUAGUGAUCACUUUUAAGCUACUUUUCCCCAAUAUGUGGCUCAUUACUCAAACUUCUCUUUAGAUAAAUUGUGGCAUAUGCCAUAUACCUUCAAAUCUUUCUCAAUUCAGCUCAAUAAAGAAUGACAAGAUAGCAGGACUGGGAGGCAUUGAGGAAAAGUAAGCGUGGUGUGACGUGGCUUCCAGCUUAAGCAGUGAGCAGUGGAUACAAGUGUGUGGAGCCAGAAUCAUGAGUGUUGAUUUCCUGUUUUCCUGCCUUGCACAAAGUCUAUAACCACUUCCUUCUGGCACUGAACUUUCAAGCCCUCAUUACAUUUAAUAGGUGACUAAAAAAAGAAGAAUAGUAGAAGCACGGAGGCAUAUUUGUUAAGGGCUUCAUUUAACAGGAAUACCUAAUGAAAUGAAGAUGUGCAGUGACCAAUAUGAGGAAGGUGUGCCAAUCCUAGGAUUGUUUGAGGUAGUGGCCAUUUUUGAUCAACAAUAUCCCUUUAGUUGCAACUGUGUGUAAGGCACAGCAGGGGCACCUGGUUUAGAAAAGAUGGGAAACAAAGUGUAACUAUACAUUAAACAAACAGAGGCAUGGAAUGUAGGCGAUGUUCUUUUUUAAGCACCAACCUCAUACCAGAUUCCAUAUAAAUCAUAGAGUUAUAGUUCAUCAAAGUAACUUCAAUUUCUAUUUAAUUAUAAAAGUAUAUGUUCUUAUAAGAACACCCAUUCUGUAACCAUUAAAAUUUAUGAAGCAGAGGAUUUGGGUUUUGAUUGUUUAUUUUGAAAAAUGAUUCUGAGUACAAAAGUAUUCCUAUAAAUAGAGAGUUCAGCCUAAUGCAUUUAAAUUUUUAUUUAUAGAUCAUUAGCUAUUUGACAAAGAGGUGUGACAGGACAAAGACUUGAAGCUAAAAUCAUUAAGAUUUCAAAAUGAAGAUAAAUAAUGUCUAAAAUCAUAGAGUAAGUUUCUGAUGACAUGACUUACAUUACAAAUGUUGAUUUAUGCACAGCCUUUUCAGAUAUACCUUACCACUGGGACAUUGUUGGCUUCAUUUUACUCAUGUUAGAAAAAGAUCAGAAUGUCUGCUUUUCCUUUCUCACUGUCUUUGUUUAAAAAUGAACAAGAUACAUCAAGGAGUUGGUGUCGAUAUAGGAAAAUCUUCUAAUGUGAAUUGAAUGGUCUUGGUUUCCUAAGAGUUUAGGGGCAGGAGGCAGGGGAAGGAACAAAUGAUUUCUACUUAAAAGCUUCUUUCUUCCCUGUUAUACAGUGAAGCAAUUACUGAAGAAAGUGCUAGAAUGGUUCUGAGGAUCAUCCAGGUCCUCUGUCGUCUUUUAAAUCAUCACCUAGUGAUAAUGGUUUUCCCAAGACGGAAACGUGGGCAUACGAGAAUGGAAGGGAACAAAAUGAACUAGUGACACAUCCAUCUCUGGUUCUGAGUUAGCAAAACUACUUCAAAGUCACUCCUCUUGUCACUUGAAGCUGCUUCUUUUUCUUCUUUCUUCCUUUCUCUCUUUUUUUAAAAAACAAAACUCUGUGAGGAAAUGCAUUGGUUCCUUGAGAACCCAUCCUCAUCCUUCAGCUUUUGGUCAUUAAUAUGGUUGGUGUGAUGAGCCAAAAGGCACAAAGCGCAAAGUGUUCCACAAGGUGAGACAAAUGAAUCUUCUAAGGUACUAGGAAGCCAUGUGUGUGUGUGUGUGUGCGUAAAAAAAUUUCUUAAAGGGUAUCCCAGUGGUCUUCAUUUUCCUAAUAUGGGUGAGUGCUUCAUUUAAUUUAGGAAUGUCUUAUUGGAAGACAUUAAUUGCUGUAGAUAAAGAGUUCUUUGCUUUAUCUAAAGGUGAGGCAGCAGUCAGAAACUUUUCCUAACUUUUAUUCUAUAAUCUCAGGACUACCAACUAUCUCUACUUAUCAGCCCCAAUCUGCUUAGAUAAAUAACAGUUUAUAAUAUAUUUGACUUUCUUUCUUUUUUUUUUUUUUUUUUUGAGAAAGAUUAGCCCUGAGCUAACUACUGCCAAUCCUUCUCUUUUUGCUGAGGAAGACUGGCCUUGAGCUAACAUCCAUGUCCAUCUUCCUCUCCUUUAUAUGUGGGAUGCCCACCACAACAUGGCUUUUGCCAAGCGGUGCCGUGUCCGCACCCGGGAUCCAAACCAGCGAACCCCUGGCCACGUAGAAGCAGAACGUGCGAACUCAACCUCUGUGCCACCGAGCCAGCCCCGGCAUUUGACUUUCUGACAUGGUCCUCUUACCCUAUACCACAGAUGUAAGGACAAAGUAUGAAUCUGCAUCAUUACCAACUUGGAUCUUGAUCUCUCUUUCUGGGAAGUUAAGUGUGUGUGUUAACAGGUUGACCUCCUUUAGCUAAGAAUUGGUAGCAAUUCUUGAAUAUAAUUCUUCAGAUUCAUUUUAGCUUUGCUCACUGGUUUUAGCUGAAACAAAUGGCAUAUCCUGGAAUACUUCAAUGAACUAAAAUAGUUUGUAAGGUGAUGCCUCAAGUUACUUACAGUGUACCUUCCAGUUGUGAGUAUUAACCUCUAGACUGAGCUCCUUGGCUAGGUGAAGUUUAAGCAUCCAUAAUCCCUCACUCAUUCUAUUUCCAAAAUGGAGGGUACUUGUAUAGACAGUAAUUGGGCUAUCUUUUCUGGUCAUAAAGUAUUAUAGGAGAGAUGUGAACAUCCCAGUGCUGGGUGAAUACUCUUUCCUUCUGGCUUUCUCUUUUCCACUGGUUCUUACCACCG
ensembl:lncRNA